rnacentral:rRNA from 2 species
UGCAAGUCGAACGAGCUUCCGUUGAAUGACGUGCUUGCACUGAUUUCAACAAUGAAGCGAGUGGCGAACUGGUGAGUAACACGUGGGAAAUCUGCCCAGAAGCAGGGGAUAACACUUGGAAACAGGUGCUAAUACCGUAUAACAACAAAAUCCGCAUGGAUUUUGUUUGAAAGGUGGCUUCGGCUAUCACUUCUGGAUGAUCCCGCGGCGUAUUAGUUAGUUGGUGAGGUAAAGGCCCACCAAGACGAUGAUACGUAGCCGACCUGAGAGGGUAAUCGGCCACAUUGGGACUGAGACACGGCCCAAACUCCUACGGGAGGCAGCAGUAGGGAAUCUUCCACAAUGGACGAAAGUCUGAUGGAGCAAUGCCGCGUGAGUGAAGAAGGGUUUCGGCUCGUAAAACUCUGUUGUUAAAGAAGAACACCUUUGAGAGUAACUGUUCAAGGGUUGACGGUAUUUAACCAGAAAGCCACGGCUAACUACGUGCCAGCAGCCGCGGUAAUACGUAGGUGGCAAGCGUUGUCCGGAUUUAUUGGGCGUAAAGCGAGCGCAGGCGGUUUUUUAAGUCUGAUGUGAAAGCCUUCGGCUUAACCGGAGAAGUGCAUCGGAAACUGGGAGACUUGAGUGCAGAAGAGGACAGUGGAACUCCAUGUGUAGCGGUG